CCUACGGGUGGCUGCAGUGGGGAAUAUUGCACAAUGGGCGCAGGCCUGAUGCAGCCAUGCCGCGUGUGUGAAGAAGGCCUUCGGGUUGUAAAGCACUUUCAGCGGGGAGGAAGGCGGUGAGGUUAAUAACCUCAUCGAUUGACGUUACCCGCAGAAGAAGCACCGGCUAACUCCGUGCCAGCAGCCGCGGUAAUACGGAGGGUGCAAGCGUUAAUCGGAAUUACUGGGCGUAAAGCGCACGCAGGCGGUCUGUCAAGUCGGAUGUGAAAUCCCCGGGCUCAACCUGGGAACUGCAUUCGAAACUGGCAGGCUAGAGUCUUGUAGAGGGGGGUAGAAUUCCAGGUGUAGCGGUGAAAUGCGUAGAGAUCUGGAGGAAUACCGGUGGCGAAGGCGGCCCCCUGGACAAAGACUGACGCUCAGGUGCGAAAGCGUGGGGAGCAAACAGGAUUAGAUGCCCCAGUAGUC
rnacentral:rRNA from 1 species